GGAGGAUGCGAGCGUUAUCCGGAUUUAUUGGGUUUAAAGGGUGCGUAGGCGGUUUUUUAAGUUAGUGGUUAAACGUCGGGGCUUCACCUUGAUUUGCCAUUAAUACUGUAAGACUCGAGUUCAGACGAGGUAGGCGGAAUAAGUUAAGUAGCGGUGAAAUGCUUAGAUAUAACUUAGAACUCCGAUAGCGAAGGCAGCUUACCAGACUGCGACUGACGCUGAAGCACGAGAGCGUGGGUAGCGAAC
rnacentral:rRNA from 1 species